rnacentral:rRNA from 1 species
UACGUAGGGUGCAAGCGUUAAUCGGAAUUACUGGGCGUAAAGCGUGCGCAGGCGGUUAUGUAAGACAGGUGUGAAAUCCCAGGGCUUAACCUUGGAACUGCAUUUGUGACUGCAUAGCUAGAGUACGGUAGAGGGGGAUGGAAUUCCGCGUGUAGCAGUGAAAUGCGUAGAUAUGCGGAGGAACACCGAUGGCGAAGGCAAUCCCCUGGGCUAACACUGACGCUCAUGCACGAAAGCGUGGGGAGCAAACAGG